rnacentral:rRNA from 1 species
GUAACGGAGGCGCCCAAAGGUUCCCUCAGCCUGGUUGGCAAUCAGGUGUUGAGUGUAAGUGCACAAGGGAGCUUGACUGUGAGACCGACGGGUCGAGCAGGGACGAAAGUCGGGACUAGUGAUCCGGCGGUGGCUUGUGGAAGCGCCGUCGCUCAACGGAUAAAAGGUACCCCGGGGAUAACAGGCUGAUCUUCCCCAAGAGUCCAUAUCGACGGGAUGGUUUGGCACCUCGAUGUCGGCUCGUCGCAUCCUGGGGCUGGAGUCGGUCCCAAGGGUUGGGCUGUUCGCCCAUUAAAGCGGUACGCGAGCUGGGUUUAGAACGUCGUGAGACAGUUCGGUCCCUAUCCGCUGUGCGCGUAGGAGUCUUGAGAAGGGCUGUCCCUAGUACGAGAGGACCGGGACGGACGAACCUCUGGUGUGCCAGUUGUUCUGCCAAGGGCAUGGCUGGUUGGCUACGUUCGGGAGGGAUAACCGCUGAAAGCAUCUAAGCGGGAAGCCUGCUUCGAGAUGAGGACUCCCACCUCCUGGAGAGGGUAAGGCUCCCAGUAGACGACUGGGUUGAUAGGCCGGAUAUGGAAGCACGGUAACGUGUGGAGUUGACCGGUACUAAUAGGCCGAGGGCUUGUCCUCAGUUG